CCUGCAAAUGGUGACAGAUUUUGAUGCAGUUUCUGAAAGGAAAAAGAUGAUAUGGAAAAAUGAAAAUUAUAAUAAAUUCCCCUUUCAUCUAAAAUCUAAAAUAUAUAAAAAUAUGAGGGAUGAUUGAAUGAAUGAAGAAAAGGAAAUACAUUGUAGCAUUAACAACCCAACUCAUGCUCAGUUGAUUGAACAUUUCAACUAUCAAGUCUUCAAAAGAUCACCAUAUACAUUAAGUCAACUUUCUUUUUUUUUUUUCUUUCCCUCCUUUCUUUGAGUCAACUUUCAUUACCUUACACAUGAAAUCUUAAAUCUCUUUAACUUCUCUCUCUCUUUUUGAGGGGGUAAGAAAGAAUAUUAUUUUUUUUAAGAUAAAAGAAGACUUUACUCUGAAUGAGAGAAAGAAUUGCAGCAACAGUAAAUAAAAGAAGACAACCCCAAGGAAAGACAGGAAAAAAAGAAAGCAAGAAACAUAAUACAAAGGUUAUGUACUGUAAAUAAAUAAAUAAAUCUCAUCUAUGUUGGAGAUCAGAGAUGCUAAUAUCACAAAAGCAACCAUGCACUUUGGCCCAUAAGGAAGCCAAGAAAGUAACCAUCUCCCAAAGCUUGGUGUAAGACAUAUGUAUGUUGUUAAAGAUUGUAGAAAUGCGAGCAAGCCAUAUACAACAUAGGCCAGCUGAUGUAAGACAAAUACGGUUGAUUUGUCCAAUUAGAGAUUUAGGAAAAAAAAAACCUAAUUGAACAAAUAAACCCUAUAUAUCCUCUAUCAAUUUAGUAUGAGAUCUAAAAGUAUCAUACCAGAUUCUCAAAACUCUAGACGCAAACAGUUCCAAUCCACCUUCAAAAAAAAAAAAAAAAUCCUAAAACAGCUGCUAGCACCAUUCACCAAUCAUUUCAAAGGUGGUUGACACUACCACCACCACCAGCUCCAGAAAAGACCAAUCGGCUGACCCCAAAAGUCCAGCAACAAAACUCCAUCAGAAACCACCAUACUCGCCAGCAGAAGCUCUCACAACUGCUGCUUCUUGCAGAAUCCGCACUUUUGCACCGUCAUGUCUUACUGGCCUCAAAUUUGAGUUUAGAAACUCCCCUUGAGCCGUCUGCCAAAUGGCUUCCGCCUUCCAAUGGUGUGUGAAGCCCACGCGCAGCCAGCCGUGAGUCAGCCUCGUCCAUUCUGUUUUGUUUUGGCUUCUACAAUAUUUUCCUACAUUGACAAGAUUUUUCUUGAGAGACAUUCGGCUUCAACCAUAGUUAUUAACACUAAAUUAAAUACUAAACUUGAGACACUCAAGGCAACCACAAAUACUGAAUUGGAAAAAAUCCAAAACUCUAUCGAAGCAAUCCUGGAAGAACUGAAUUGCGCACCGCUCAAAUAGGUUCUCCAAUUGAAAAUCUACAUGUGACUUAAGCAGUCAUUCUGCUUAAAGACAUGACAUGUUGAGGAUAAUGCUGGAGAUAUUACAAAGAAGGCAGAGGUUGAAACCCCUGAUUUUGAUGGAAGAAGGGAUCUUGAGUUCUUUCGUGAUUGGCUUAAUUCAAUAGAUUCACUUCAACUGGUAUGACAUGCCAGAUACAUGAAGAGUUUGAGUUGCCAAGAUGAAGUUGGUUGGACUUGCAAAAAUAUGAU
rnacentral:lncRNA from 1 species